AUGUGUAUCAGAAUGUAAAAAUUGUUAUGGUUGCAAGAAGAGGUGGGCGAGUGAUGACUUAUAAUUAAUUGAGGCUGUAGUGAUGAUACGAGAAGUCAUGGUCAAAGCUUUCUGUAGCAGAUAUCAUUAAUGGGAAGAAAUUUGCAUUUUUUUUAUUAUUUAAAACAAAAGUCCAUGGUCUUUGGCGCUAAAUAGAGGUGCAAAUGAGUUGAUUUAGGUCCUGUCCAGGGGCUGGGUUAAUUUUAAUCAGCUUUCAAUUUAAAUUUACAUACAAGGCUUGCAUUUGAGUUUUCUGCAAAAAUUGAAUCAAUCUGGAUCAUUUAAGGUUAACUAGCCCCUAUCCUGACAGGGGCUGGGUUAGCUUUAAUCAGCUUUUGAUUUAAAUUUGAUGUACAAGGCUUACAUUUGAGUUUUCAGCAAAAAUUAAAUCAAUCCGGGUCGCUCAAGGUUAGGCUUCAAUUUUGCGUAGCUUAAUUAAAAUCAUCCUAUUAAACAGUAUGUUGCUGGUAUAUACCUAAUAAACUUACACAUAUUUUUUGAAUUAAC
rnacentral:lncRNA from 1 species